rnacentral:lncRNA from 13 species
CCAGUGUUCGAUCACAGCACAGUCUGUCUGACUCACAGUCGCUGUCACCUUCUGUAAUGAUUUGCUAGCUCACUUACUUCUUUGUUUCAGUCCCCAGCCAGAAGGGGAGGAGUCUUCUGUCUCUUGUUCACUCAAGCGUGCUCAGCAUCUGACUGCUGCAGACACACGAAUGUGUUGAAAGCAUCAUCGAGAAUUCUUAGCAAAACAAGAGCCAAAUUAAAACGGAAGUUAUUUAAGAGGGGUUUAAGAGGUUCUACCUACUUUGAAUGCCAAAUUCUGACUUUUAACAGAUAAGAACAGACCUACAUAAUCCAGGUAUUAUUACAUAUAUAUUUCGCAUAUGUUACAUAUAAUUAUUAUUAUAUUAUUGGACAUCUUAGGUAAUUUUAUUUUAUGUUUGAUA